AUUGAACGCUGGCGGCAGGCCUAACACAUGCAAGUCGAACGGUAACAGGAAACAGCUUGCUGUUUCGCUGACGAGUGGCGGACGGGUGAGUAAUGUCUGGGACACUGCCUGAUGGAUGGGGAUAACUACUGGAAACGGUAGCUAAUACCGCAUAACGUCGCAAGACCAAAGAGGGGGACCUUCGGGCCUCUUGCCAUCGGCUGUGCCCAGAUGGGAUUAGCUAGUAGGUGGGGUAACGGCUCACCUAGGCCACGAUCCAUAGCUGGUCUGAGAGGAUGACCAGCCACACUGGAACUGAGACACGGUCCAGACUCCUACGGGAGGCAGCAGUGGGGAAUAUUGCACAAUGGGCGCAAGCCUGAUGCAGCCAUGCCGCGUGUAUGAAGAAGGCCUUCGGGUUGUAAAGUACUUUCAGCGGGGAUGAAGGGAGUAGAGUUAAUACCUUUGCUCAUUGACGGUACCCGAAGAAGAAGCACCGGCUAACUCCGUG
rnacentral:rRNA from 1 species